rnacentral:rRNA from 1 species
CUUUUGCACCAAAGAGGACUUUUAAUUCAACAUCGAGGUCAUAAACUCACUUGUCAAUUAGAACUUUUUAAGUGAAUUAAGCUGUUAUCCCUAAAGUAACUUAUUCUUUUUUUAAAAUUUUUAGAUAUUAAGACCCAUAAAGUCUUUUGAAAACAAGAAAAGUUAUUUUUCCCUACCGCCCCAGUAAAAUAUUCAUUUUCCUCACUAAAAGAAGUAAAUAUAAAGUUUUAUAGGGUCUUCUUGUCUUUAAGAUUUAUUUUAGCCUUCUUACUAAAAGGUCAACUUCAUUUUUUUAUCUUAAAAAAGCCUAUUCCAGUUUACCCUUUCAUUCCAG